CACGCCCUAAACGAUGUCAACUAGUUGUUGGGGAUUCAUUUCCUUAGUAACGUAGCUAACGCGUGAAGUUGACCGCCUGGGGAGUACGGUCGCAAGAUUAAAACUCAAAGGAAUUGACGGGGACCCGCACAAGCGGUGGAUGAUGUGGAUUAAUUCGAUGCAACGCGAAAAACCUUACCUACCCUUGACAUGGUCGGAAUCCUGCUGAGAGGUGGGAGUGCUCGAAAGAGAACCGAUACACAGGUGC
rnacentral:rRNA from 1 species